ACGAGAGGUUGAAUUAUUUGGUCAUUGAGGGAGACAGCUUGCAAGUGCUACAGUGACUCAGGUCAAAGGUUACAGGGACAGAGAGGACCGAAGAUGCCUAUGUUUGGGAAAAAAACACUCUUCCAGUGGUUUCGAUUUGCAUGGGAGAAGGAACCUGUGAUAGUUGCAGCCUGUGUGGUUGGACUACUCCCACCCCUUGGUGUAUUCUUCAUGCCUGAGAGUUGGAAAGACGAUGUCGCAAGAAGACAACGCAUGGUCACAACAAGAUAUCCAGUUCCAGUGAGGGACGAAGGUGAUGAGUAGCGAAGCGUAGUGAUGCCCCCUGGCUGCACAACAUCCGUACUGCACCUGUGACCUCACCAUGUGUUUACCACCUAUCAACAACAACAUAUUAUGAUGCUGUAUAUAAUACUGUAGCCUUGGUAGAAACAUUGCAGCUCUCUGUUAUUAGCAGGACUUUUAUUGCUCUGGUUCCUGAGUUUGCCAUCCUACUAGAAACUGUCAAACCUAAUGAGUGAAAAUUUAUUGUCCUCUUAAGAAAUGUAAUAAAGCAAGUAUUGAAAACUGA